UGCUCAAUGGUAAGCGUGCGCUCUGGCACACGGUCAUCUGAAGAGAACUGAUGUGGUCUCUGAAGGAUAAUGGAAGAAAGUGAAUAAAAGAACACUAGAAAAAAAUAUUGAACGAAAAAGCACAACAAUUAUGAAUAGAAGCAAAGCUGAAAAUAAGGCACACACAGGUAUUGUAUUACCUCUCUGCAAGGACUUCCAAAGGGCUUGUUCCCAGAGACCAGCUUCGUACCAUCCAGGCAGAGUCCAUGGCAGCAAGAAAUCCCCUGGCUAUUCCAGUUCCCAUUGGCCAGAAUGGCUGAAAGAAACCAUGAAGAAGCAAUGUGAAAGAAAAGCACAAUUUUCCUGGGUCCACUGGAUAAGGUGACAUAUUCAAAAAGAAACCAACGCUGGUGCCAGCCAGAGGUCUAAGGGAAGGGCAUUCCAUAAUUGGGGCACCACAGCCAAGACCUUCUUCCAAAUCCUCCCACUGUGUACUGUUCUCACUGGUGGGGCAUAGAGGAGGGUUCCUCCUGAAGACCUCAGUUCUCGGCAGUGACAUAUAGACAGAAGUGCUCCUUGAAGUAUUAAGAUCCUAAGCUUUAAAUGUCAUCAUCAGCUCUGUGAAUUCAGACCAGAAGCAAACUAGCAGCCAGUGCAGCUACUUUAAGAGCAGUGUAACAUGUUGUCUACACACUACUCUGGUCAGCAAUCUUGCAGCCACAUUCUGCAUUAGCUGUAGUUUCCAAAUCAUCUUCAAGGGCUGCACUACAGAGAGUGCAUUGCAGUACUCUAACUGGGAAUUUACACAGGAUGUAUGGACUACUGUGACUAUCCUUGUUCAGGAAGAUUGGAGCUGGCACAGCCUAUCAGAACUGGCACCAAGAACUCCUUGUUACAGAGUGCACUUGCGCCUCAAAUGACAAAGAUGAAGAGUACUCCCAAACUAUGUCAAGUAAGCUGUCAGCCAGGGCAACCAAGGGGAAAUUGGCAGUGUGCCCCAGCUUGAAACCAGAGUGAAAUGGGCCCAGUUAAUCUCUUUAUUCCAAGAAUGUCUGAAGUUUCCCAGCCACCAAAACACACAAGCAUCUUGGCUAAAUGAGGGGAAUUAACAAUUGGUGCUAGCUGCAGAAGCAGAGAGUGUGGCAUCUUCAAGGUAGCAAGCACCUCUCCCUAGUACAGUGAGUCAUUUACCACCUCCUGGACCUACCUGUGCAAUCCAUUUCUGCUAGAUUUUAUUAGCCAAUAUGGACAAGGGUCAAGCCUACAUGUAUUAGAAUAAUCUAUUCAAGAGCCUUCUCCAUAUCAUCAGAUUACAAAAACUGAAACUGAUCCCAAGAAAUCUGAGCAGACAGAGCACUGGACAUUUCCUCACAUUCUGCAAUAACCAUGAUGUCAAGUUCUGGGCAAAUAUCAGAUACGUUCUCCUUGAAGUGUCUGACAAACUUGUCAUAGUAGGUAAUUGAGGACUACACUGCUGGUUUCUCUAGUCCUAAUCCCAACAAGCUUCUCACCACUCAAAAUAAUUCUGCUGGGUGGCAUGUUGAGGAUGUAAAACCAGAGGCACAGUAUGUUUGAGGUGAAUCUGUUCUAUCAUGUCAUAAUCCUACCACCUCUUCAUUCUACAUGUAUAGAACAGAUGUUGGCCAAGCGGUUCCAUUUAUGGGGAUAUGGAGUCCAGAGCAAGACCCCCAAAUCCCCACUUUCAUUUAUUUUACAGUAGCCAGGUUCAAACUUAAGGACAAUCCAAAUUGUAGUUUGUUAAAUGAUAGCUCACUGUUACAUCUACAACUGUCUUCUCAAACAAACAAUGGUUUGUUAGCCAGUGAAAAACAGUAACAAAAGUGCAUAAUGGUGUGUUGGUUUAUAAGCUCUGCUUUGUUGAAAUUUUGGUUUGUUAUUACAGUGGAACCCAGGAUCCAACUUGUUUUCCCUACUGUCCACUUUGAAACAAGAACAAUCAAAAUAAGGAAAGGAGACAAAAACAUACCAGAAAUAGGGAAAGUAAGUUGUGGUUUCGUUUGUUGUCAAUAAUACAAUAAAAAUAAGCCAUGUCUUAUCACGGUGCACAAACAAAACCAGUGUAGUAAGAAUAAAAUAAAAAGGAAUGUCCCAUCUCCAUCUAUUCAUUCCAGGAUCCUUUGAAGGUACUAUGGCAUACAAGUAUAAGAGAUGGUCCAUACUUGGGUACUGGUUCUUACAGCAAUUCUGUUGCAGCUGAGGUGAGGCCAGCAAAUGGGGAUUCACUGAGUGGUGACAGUAGGAAUUCUCAAUCCAGUUCAUAACUUUUAAGUCGGAGACUUAUACUGGCAAGUGAGAUCACCAAUCCAUCCAAACAGGAUAGAAAAGAUAAGGCCAAAGCCAGGGUAUCAAGAGAGGAAGAACAGGCAGCAUUAGCAAGAGCUGGAACUCACAAAGUACACUGUGAACUCUAUUAAUCUUUGGUACAUAACAUUUUUCAGAACAGCAGAUAGAGAAACUGCUGCCAGCAGUAUCUUGCCUUGCAGCAUAUUGCAAUAUAAUAGUUUCAGUGAAUUAUUUAAUUAUCAUCUCUUUGUUUGGAAAAAAAAAACACAAACAGAAGAUUAUUUGCUGGUAAAAAGUGGAAGUUUUUAUAUCCAGACGGUUGUGAUUUUUAAAAGGUAAAUGUGAAGAAACUGUAAUUGAAGUGUGUACAGUGGUACCUCGGGAUACGAAUUACCCAGCUUACGAAUUUUUCGGGAUACGAAAAAAUCCCAUAGGGAUUUAUUGUUUCGGGUUACGAACGUUUUUUC